UCAGGUUCCUUAUUAGCUUCCUGACUUUAUUCCUAGAGGCCAUGCGCCCGCCGGGAGCAGCUGGUCUGCUAAGGAGAGGAGAGAGCAAGCAGCUGCAGCCGGAGGUACGACAUCAUCUAAUUCCGGGUCAUCGAAAAAAUCUCGGCUUGGCUCCAUGGAGAAAACUGGGCAAAGCUUUACUCCGCUUAUAGUUAAUAUAGCUCAUGGUGAGGUUAUGAUCUUUACCAAUACCGACUACUUUCAGAAUCUUAUAUAUGUUGCUAUAAGAAAAGAAGAACCUUGGGGGUGCCAUCCUUUACUUUAUUUGUAAUACAGCAUGCGAACAAAUAUUUGUAAGUUUCUGAUCCUAGCUCCUGUGAUUGAUGAUUUGUGUCUACAUGAUUUCCUUGAAGAUAAUGUUAAAAAUACGAGGAUUUGAGAAUGUUAGAAAAAGCCGCAAACGCAGUCGUGAGUGAAUGUUGAAUUUUCUAUCAUGUGUUUUGUUGUUUGAAACAUGGUUGUGUUUUUAUUUAUCCUGCAAACUAUAGCUCACAGGGAAAGAGUUUGUACUUUGAAUUUUUAUUAUUAAUAAAGCUAUGAUAAGAUUCUGGCA